CCCUUAGACGUUCUGGGCCGCACGCGCGCUACACUAACACAGGCAACGAGCUUUCCUUUACCGAAAGGUAUGGGUAAUCUUUUGAAACUGUGUCGUGCUGGGGAUAGAUCCUUGCAAUUUUUGAUCUUAAACGAGGAAUUCCUAGUAAGCGCGAGUCAUCAACUCGCGUUGAUUACGUCCCUGCCCUUUGUACACACCGCCCGUCGCUACUACCGAUUGAAUGGCUUAGUGAGGCCUCAGGAUCCGCGCUUAAUGUGUGGAGAAUUUGGACAAACUACGUCAUUUAGAGGAAGUAAAAGUCGUAACA
rnacentral:rRNA from 1 species